UGAGCACUUGUUGACGUGUCUACCUUUGU
rnacentral:piRNA from 1 species